UUGACAAUCUUAUCGUGAAGGCAUACUUUCAGGAGUGAGGGUUGAGCGGGGUUUCCCCCGCCCUGGUAGUCUUAGUAAGCCGGGAAGCUUAUGACUAAGAGCACCAGGAUGAUGAUCCACUUCAUCAUGACCCUUUCCUUAUU
rnacentral:sRNA from 3 species